rnacentral:snoRNA from 1 species
CCCCUCUCAAGAUGGCACCUGGAGAGUUUCCAGUACUCUACCAGUCUCGGCUAUGGGAGGGAGAGUCAAGCAGAGGCAUAUCCAUUCCAAUCCUAGCUUGGUCAGUGGCUAGUGAGUGAAAGGCAAUCUGUUAUAAGC